UAAAGAACUAAGGAGACUGAAUGUAAAUCAGUGUGUGAUUCUCCCCCUUCUGCUCAUGGAAAUGACAUGAAACCAAGGACUGAGAGCAUUUGGCAAAGUCAAGAUUCCUAGAAGUCUCAACAAAUUAGAACAUUGGGCUGAAUCAAGUAUAAAUCCCACAAGUCAUCCAAGAUCACCCAGAGCUUCUAUUACCGAUAGCAAAAUCUGAUCUUCACAACUGCCCUGGAAGAUAUCCCUCAGAACAUCAUCAAUACAUGGAUGCACAAAUAUGGCGUCUCAUUGGAUUCCAACCUCCAAGAAUAGCAGGUCUCCAGUCUGCAGUUCAUAAGCCAUAGACGGGGAAGAGAUCCUAGGAGGCAUCUCAUCUAACCAUGUCAUUUCAGAUGGGGAAACUGAGGACUGGCCUUUCUGAGUCCUCCAAGCUAUUAAUGCCCUACCUCUGAGACUUUCUUUUAUGAGCUAAACAAUGUUUCCUAAAAGUCUUGGAGUAGUUUUUUUUUAAUAGCCUUUUAUUUACAGGAUAUAUG